rnacentral:rRNA from 1 species
GACAGAGGGUGCAACGUUGUUCGGAAUCACUGGCAUAAGCGCACGUAGGCGGUCACUAAGUCUCAUGUGAAUCCCGGCUCACGGAUGCGCGAGAUACUGUGCUAGAGAUCGUAGGUGAGUGACUCAGUGAGCGUGAAUGCGUAGAUAUCUGAGACACGUGCGAGCGCUCACUGACGACACUGACGCUGAGUGCGAAGCUAGGUAGCACGG